UGGGGAAUAUUGGACAAUGGGCGCAAGCCUGAUCCAGCCAUGCCGCGUGAGUGAUGAAGGCCCUAGGGUUGUAAAGCUCUUUCACCGGUGAAGAUAAUGACGGUAACCGGAGAAGAAGCCCCGGCUAACUUCGUGCCAGCAGCCGCGGUAAUACGAAGGGGGCUAGCGUUGUUCGGAUUUACUGGGCGUAAAGCGCACGUAGGCGGACUUUUAAGUCAGGGGUGAAAUCCCGGGGCUCAACCCCGGAACUGCCUUUGAUACUGGAAGUCUUGAGUAUGGUAGAGGUGAGUGGAAUUCCGAGUGUAGAGGUGAAAUUCGUAGAUAUUCGGAGGAACACCAGUGGCGAAGGCGGCUAUCUGGACAGUAACUGACGCUGAGGCGCGAAAGCGUGGGUAGCAAACAGG
rnacentral:rRNA from 1 species